rnacentral:RNase_P_RNA from 2 species
AAUAGAAGGCGAUCGAGGGUUAAAAUUAAUUUUUAAAAUUAUUUUAAUUUUAGGAAAGUCCAUGUUAGCACAUACUUAAAGGAAUGUAUGUAGUGUUUGUGUCUAAGAAAAAAAUAACUUAGAGUACCUUAAAUUUAUUAGGUAACGGCUUUUUCAAUUCUAAGGACUAUAUAUAAUACAAACAAUAGUUUAUGAAAAGAAAAAAUAAAGUGCCACAGAGACGAGAUAAUUAUAAAUAAUUAUGUGAAACGCGGUAAACCCCUCAAGCUAACAACCCAAAAUAUGGUAGGGGCAUAUGAGAAUUAAUAAUUCCUUUUGAAAAAUAAAGUUAAUUUUUAUACUAUUUUUUUAAAAAAUAGAGAUAAAUGAUCGCACUUGUUAAAAAAACAAGAACAGAACAUGGCUUAUGCAU